rnacentral:rRNA from 1 species
UACGUAGGGGGCAAGCGUUGUCCGGAUUUAUUGGGCGUAAAGAGCGUGUAGGCGGUUAGGUAGGUCCGUUGUGAAAACUCGAGGCUCAACCUCGAGACGCCGAUGGAAACCAUCUAACUAGAGUCCGGGAGAGGUGAGUGGAACUGCGAGUGUAGAGGUGAAAUUCGUAGAUAUUCGCAAGAACACCAGUGGCGAAGGCGGCUCACUGGCCCGGUACUGACGCUGAGGUGCGAAAGCGUGGGGAGCAAACAGG